rnacentral:rRNA from 1 species
CCCUUAGAUGUUCUGGGCCGCACACGCGCUACACUGAAGGAGGCAGCGUGUACUCCUGGAUCGAAAGAUUUGGGUAACCCGCGAAUCUCCUUCGUGCUAGGGAUUGAGGUUUGCAAUUAUCCUUCAUGAACGAGGAAUUCCCAGUAAGUGCAAGUCAUAAGCUUGCGCUGACUACGUCCCUGCCCUUUGUACACACCGCCCGUUGCUACUACCGAUUGAAUGAUUUAGUGAGGACUUCGGACUGGGACCGAUGCGGCUUUCGGGCUGCGUCGGUAUUCUGGAAAGAUGUCCAAACUGUAUCAUUUAGAGGAAGUAAAAGUCGUAACA